GCCUUCUUAGUGCAGCAGGUAGUGCGUCAGUCUCAUAAUUUAAAGGUCCUGAGUUCGAUCCUCAGAGAGGGCA